rnacentral:rRNA from 1 species
AUUGAACGCUGGCGGCAUGCCUUACACAUGCAAGUCGAACGGCAGCACGGGUGCUUGCACCUGGUGGCGAGUGGCGAACGGGUGGGUAAUACAUCGGAACGUACCUUAUCGUGGGGGAUAACGCAGCGAAAGCUGUGCUAAUACCGCAUACGCCCUGAGGGGGAAAGCGGGGGAUCGCAAGACCUCGCGCGAUUAGAGCGGCCGAUGCCUGAUUAGCUUGGUGGUGGGGUAAAAGCCCACCAAGGCGACGAUCAGUAGCUGGUCUGAGAGGACGAUCAGCCACACGGGGACUGAGACACGGCCCAGACUCCUACGGGGGGCAGCAGUGGGGAAUUUUGGACAAUGGGGGCAACCCUGAUCCAGCAAUGCCGCGUGAGUGAAGAAGGCCUUCGGGUUGUAAAGCUCUUUUGUCAGGGAAGAAACACCGGCUCUAACACAGUCCGGGAAUGACGGUACCUGAAGAAUAAGCACCGGCUAACUACGUGCCAGCCGCCGCGGUAA